rnacentral:rRNA from 1 species
UGGAAGGACUGCCAUCGACAAGAUGGAGGAAGGUGGGGAGUGACGUCAAGUCAUCAUGGCCCUUAUGUCCAGGGCGACACACGUGCUACAAUGGCCGGCACAACGGGAAGCGAGUUCGCGAGGACGAGCGGAUCCCUCAAAGCCGGUCGCAGUUCGGAUUGAAGUCUGCAACUCGACUUCAUGAAGCUGGAAUCGCUAGUAAUCGUGGAUCAGCCAAGCCGCGGUGAAUACGUUCCCGGGCCUU